CCUAAGGUAGCGAAAUUCCUUGUCGGGUAAGUUCCGACCUGCACGAAUGGCGUAACGAUCUCCCCGCUGUCUCUAACGUGGACUCAGCGAAAUUGAACUGUCUGUCAAGAUGCAGACUACCCGCGGUUAGACGGAAAGACCCCAUGAACCUUUACUCCAGCUUUGCAUUGGCAAACAGGACUGUGAUGUGCAGGAUAGGUGGUAGGCAUUGAAGCGGGGGACGCCAGUCUUCGUGGAGCCUCCCUUGAGAUACCACCCUUCGCCGUCUUGUUGUCUAACCGCGACCCGUUAUCCGGGCCCGGGACCGUGCAUGGUGGGGAGUUUGACUGGGGCGGUCGCCUCCCAAACAGUAACGGAGGCGCGCGAUGGUUGGCUCAGACCGGUCGGAAAUCGGUCGUUGAGUGCAAUGGCAGAAGCCAGCCUGACUGCAAGACUGACAAGUCGAGCAGAGACGAAAAGUCGGUCAUAGUGAUCCGGUGGUCCCAAGUGGAGGGCCAUCGCUCAAC
rnacentral:rRNA from 1 species